CGCCUUGACGUCGGCGAUUAUUUCGCGCAGUUCGGCAUUGAGGUUGCGGCGGGGCGCGCGCUUACUUACGUGCUUACGCGCCGUUGCGGUUUUUUUCAUAGAUACGCCUCAAGUCUCGCAGAAGUUUCGGUUCAAUAUUGUCGCGCACGUUUUUCGCGUACAUCGUCACCAGCACGAUUUCAUCCGACCGCAACCGCAGGAAGUAGACGAUGCGCGCACCGCCGCGUUUUCCGCGUCCGGCGAGCGCCCACCGCAAUUUUCUGCACCCAUCCGAU
rnacentral:misc_RNA from 1 species